rnacentral:rRNA from 1 species
GACAGAGGGUGCGAACGUUGUUCGGAAUCAUUGGGCGUAAAGCGCGUGUAGGCGGCUUGGUAAGUCGGGUGUGAAAUCCCGGGGCCCAACCCCGGAACUGCAUUCGAAACUGCCUCGCUAGAGUCCCGGAGAGGAAGGCGGAAUUCCCGGUGUAGAGGUGAAAUUCGUAGAUAUCGGGAGGAACACCAGCGGCGAAGGCGGCCUUCUGGACGGUGACUGACGCUGAGACGCGAAAGCGUGGGGAGCAAACAGG